rnacentral:lncRNA from 1 species
GACGCGCCAUAUUUUAAAUCUAUUGACCUAAAGAUAGAUAAUCCUAAAAAGUUGUCCAUAAUCUUAACUUUAACAUUUACUAACUUUGAUUAUUACUAACCUUUGUUAUUGUUAUUAUCAUUGUUAUUAUCCAUUGUCAUUUACUUAUCAUGUCAUUUACAUUUAAGUCAUCAUUAUCAUCAUCAUUGUACAAAUUCAUCAUACACAUCUCACUAUUGUCAUCAUUCAAAACCAACUAAAACAUGAU